rnacentral:lncRNA from 1 species
CGAACAGGUUUCACGGUGCUUCACGGUGCAUAUCUACUACCGAUAAACAGCCCCUCCACUUCCAGGUAGUCUGCGGGACCCGUAGCUUUUAGUCUAAACUUCCUCAGAUGCUCAGAAACUCGGCUGACCCGCCCCCGAUGGUUUACAUCAGCAUCUCUGGCGGUGGCACCCAAGCCCCCAGUAUUGUUAAGAAGUUUGAGACUUAUCUCCUGACCAAUGAACAUGGCCAAGAAGUCAUCCUCAUUCUCAAGCCCAUGAGCUUACUAUUGGAUUCCAGCUGCACUUCCCUCCUCUUGGCACUCCUUUGCCAAAAUAAACACAGCCCACCCAAGUCCUCGCCGGACUCGCCUCUAGCUUGCUGUACCAUCCAUUUCUCCAAUUGCAAUUUCUCUGCCAUUCCCAAAUAAACUCAAUUUCUGGGAAUUCAGACUUGUUUAUCUCUUUAUUCAGGCUGACAAGUGAAAAAGGAGAAAAUAAUAAAAGGCACAAUGCUAAGCA